AGAGUUUGAUCCUGGCUCAGGAUGAACGCUAGCGGCAGGCCUAACACAUGCAAGUCGAGGGGUAACAGGAAAGCUUGCUUUCGCUGACGACCGGCGCACGGGUGCGUAACGCGUAUGCAACCUACCUCAUACUGGAGGAUAGCCCCUGGAAACGGGGAUUAAUACUCCAUAGUAUCACGAAUUCGCAUGUUUUUGUGAUUAAAGUUUUUCGGUAUGAGAUGGGCAUGCGUCCCAUUAGCUUGUUGGUGAGGUAACGGCUCACCAAGGCAACGAUGGGUAGGGGGCCUGAGAGGGUGGUCCCCCACACUGGUACUGAGACACGGACCAGACUCCUACGGGAGGCAGCAGUGAGGAAUAUUGGUCAAUGGACGAAAGUCUGAACCAGCCAUGCCGCGUGAAGGAUGACGGCCCUAUGGGUUGUAAACUUCUUUUAUAGAGGAAGAAACUUGUCUACGUGUAGACAACUGACGGUACUCUACGAAUAAGGAUCGGCUAACUCCGUGCCAGCAGCCGCGGUAAUACGGAGGAUCCAAGCGUUAUCCGGAUUCAUUGGGUUUAAAGGGUCCGUAGGCGGGUCUUUAAGUCAGUGGUGAAAGCCGACAGCUCAACUGUCGAACUGCCAUUGAUACUGGAGACCUUGAGUACAAAUGAAGUAGGCGGAAUGAGUCAUGUAGCGGUGAAAUGCAUAGAUAUGACUCAGAACACCGAUUGCGAAGGCAGCUUACUAACAUGUAACUGACGCUGAGGGACGAAAGCGUGGGGAGCGAACAGGAUUAGAUACCCUGGUAGUCCACGCCGUAAACGAUGAUUACUCGCUGUUAGCGAUAUACAGUUAGCGGCCAAGCGAAAGCAUUAAGUAAUCCACCUGGGGAGUACGCCGGCAACGGUGAAACUCAAAGGAAUUGACGGGGGCCCGCACAAGCGGUGGAGCAUGUGGUUUA
rnacentral:rRNA from 1 species